AUGCACUCAUGCCAACAGGUUAAAAUGAUAAUUUUGAGGAACAGGUAUCAAAGGUAGGUGACGAUUCCCAGGGUAGCCCUGAAGAUGUCAUAACCCCGUCACAAUCAGGAGAACACUCGGAAACCAAUCAGUCACUCUCUCAGACCACAGACGUUGUUUGUGAACAACAAUCACCCAAGGAAAGAGGCACAUCUCUAACAUCUUCUGUAUCCUGAUAGUCGUCAUUUUCCAACCUUUGCUUGCUUCACCACUACCCCUUGAAGACUCAGUACUUCGUAUAAAUUAUGGCAUUGCCUUCACACAUCGAGGGACACUACAGAUUUAAGAGACUACGCACAAUCUCCACCCUGCUCAUACUGCUCCAGAACCAGUAGGGUCAAGGCAGACGUUCAAGUUCCUCAAUUCAAAUAUAACAUUCCCACGACCACUCCCUUCACCCUUUAUCGGCAUUACAGUCAAUCGAAUUUAUCUUAGACCAUGCCAUGGUUACUGUACUUACAAUUCAGUCGGUCUUUCCCUUUUAUUGUGCUUCGCUCUCAGGAUGUUCCGUCAAAAUUAUCAACAGUUUUGUACUAUCGUAUUGGAAAUAACAAAUGGUCCCAAAUACUUUUUGAUACCAAUUGCCAAACUUACUAAAUGUAUCAUGCAGUACAACAUAGAGGCCCCAGUUAACAUUACCAAUCUUCAGAUAAUAGGUUGGUUUCGACCGAGACUAUAUGUCGAUAUGCCAGGGCUUACGAUCAAAGAUGUUUCUCUAGGUAAGGCAGUCACGUUACCUUCUUCAUUUCUACUGCCAUUCAGAACGGCCUGCUGUUUGCACCCAAUUUCAAAGAGGCCAUUCUGUGCGUAUAGAUUAAUUAAUCAUCAUGGGUACAUGCUGCCAGUUGUCUCUGUGAAACGUGCAGGGUCACUGCCAGCUAUUUCUAUUUACCCAUCUCUCGUUGUGUAAAUAUGCAUAGUGCAUUUUGUUCAUACAAAUUUCGGGACGAAAUUUUAAAAUAAUAGGGGGAUACUAUUAACAUGGGAGAAACGCACAAUGUUUUAAAAUAUUUUAUGACAGCAUACGUUAUUGAAAUAUGGAAAUGUUACAGACUAACUAACCACGUUUCACAAUCUGCAAGCCGCCAAGGGUCACAAUGAUAACGAACGUCCGACACCAGUAUCUUGUAUGUGUCGGCAGAUAGAGAUAGGCUAAUCAAAUUCUGUGUGAACUUCACUCAUCCACACCGACGUUUAUCAAAACCAUUAGACAACCCUGCCAAGAUAGAGUUCUUAAAUGCGCAGUAGGCACCUUAUCGUCAGUCGAGUUAGGCAAUAGGAUUAAGAUACAGCAACUGAAGUUCACAACAACAACCUUAUCGUCAUCUUUAUCAGUAAAUGGGAUUAUCUGUGAUAACUGGAACAGGUAUAAAA